CAGUACAGAAGAUACUUGCCGCUACUCCAGCUCCAGAGCCCACCCUGAGUGCAAACUCAGUAAAGACUUGGAGCGUUUAAAGGAAAAAACUAAAAAUGGGUCUACGUUCGGUCACUUCCAAAUUAUUCUCAUUCUUACGGUCUAUCCAGGGCCACGUCUCCUUCAUUUCCUUUUCAUCAGUUACCUAUCUUUGGCCAACAAAUGAUCACUGGUGAUUCCUUUUCCAAUACAUGGCUGGGAAGCAAUGAGACAAAAAAACAAAAUUGUUUUCUUGUUUGAGUUAAAUUCAAUUUUACAAACAAAUUGAGUUUGUGCUAAUGGCCAGGUAUUCUGCUUGGUACUAGGGAUAAAAGGACUGGGGAUUACAGUCAAGUGAUAGGGAAAAGACCAGUUGAUUCCCAAUGAUGAAAAGUUAGCACAGAUGCUACAGGAGAUGUGAGAGUCACUCAACUUUGCCUUGGUGGGGGUGGUGGAGGAUCAGGGAAGACUUCCUGGAGGAGGUGACAGCCAUUCUAAUAAGACGUUACCCAGGCAAAUGGGUGAGAAGGGGGUGAAGACGUUGUAUGCAGAGAAUACUUCUCCAAAGGUUCUGAGGAGCAAUUUGUUAACAUCUGAAGUGCCCUGCUCAGGAAUACACAUUCCAGAGUGUUUGUAAGCUUUGAUAGAUGCUAACUGGAUGUCACACUCCAGAAGCACCUUCUACAAGAGCUUCGACCAUCAUUUUUCCUUUCCAGCUUUAUUGAGAUAUUACUGACUUAUAAUAUACCGCUAGCCGUCCUUCUCCACCACUCCAGUGGGGGAGUUAUCCAAGGCAGCUCAAUUCAACUGAGCGGCAGGAAGGACAGAAUCCCAUGGAAAGGAGCCAAAGUUCUAUCAGGAAGACAAUACCAGUUCUGACAAAUCUGGAAGGUGAUGCAAGGACAAAAAUAACACCACUUGGUGACUGGGAGCUGAGAGCAGGAUGGAAAGGGGUGUGAGGCACAGGUUAGCAUGAUCAAGUCAGGACUGAGGCUGUGACCAGCAGGUGAUUGCCAGAGCACACGUUUGUCAUGGUGCCAGAACAUAUCAUGCCUCUUAAAGGAGCCACAUGCAGCUGGACACCAGUCAACUCUCCAUAGUCAAGCUAUUGCUUCACCACUCACCUCCCCUGAGUACAAUGUGUGUCCUGUGUUUCCCAUUCAGCUAAUGGCAUCACCACCCACUUAAGGAUCAUCUUGGGCAUCUCCAAUAUCAUCUUCCCAAUUUUAAUCAAUCAUCAAAUCUAAAAACUUCUAUCAACUAAGUAUCUCGUGACCCCAUCGCCAGUCGCCUUGGUUCUGGCUCUCAACAUCUCUCCGUGGGACCGUUGCUGCCCACGCUGCAAGAGGUUCCUCGCCGUCUUCCUGCUCACAGCAUCCCCUUCCUCUCUACCAUGGCACAGCUGCCUCUCUGCCCCACAUAUUAAAACCCUUAGGAGGCCAUGCCAGAGCAUGGCGUAUUAGAGCACUUUUAUUACAAGUGAUAGAAACUUUAGUAGGACUAUUUGGGACGAAAGGGGGAAAUGUAUUGAUUUACAUAGCUGAAUUGUGGGAAAUAGACCUGUUGUGUCCCAGAUAUUUGAAUCGGGGGCUUGAAUACCAUUGGAAUUUUUUCUCUUUCUCUGUGUAUUGUCAACAUUGUCUUUGCCUUUUUCCACAAGCCUGGACCAUGACCCCUGGCCCCUUGGAGCUCAUAUGUACCUAGUUGCUGGUACCACUAGAGUGGACGCACCACUUCUCCUAAUGGAAAUACAGAGAAGAAUAGAGAAGGUUGCAGGGGUCGUGAAGCAAGCACAGGUUUCUUUCUGCUUCUCAGAAGGGCUGGCCAGUGCCUUGGCCAUGCUCCUCAGGAACGGGUGGGAAAAUGAGCCUACCUGGUGGGCCAGCCAGGUUCCUGCUACCUGAAGCCUUGCCAGGGCUGUGCAGACUCCCAGUGGCUGGAAAAGGAGUCUGAGGGAAAAGUCUUACAAAGGCACCCGUAGCACAGUGGUUAAGGCAGGGCUCUGGGGCUUCCCUGGUGGCUCAGUGGUUAAGAAUCCACCUGGCCAAUGCAGGGGACACGGGUUCGAGCCCUGGUCCGGGAAGAUCCCACAUGCUGCGGAGCAACUAAGCCCGUGUGCCACAACUACUGAACCUGCGCUCUAGAGCCCGCGAGCCGCAACUACUGAGCACACGCUCCACAACUACUGAAGCCCACGUGCCUAGAACCCGUGCUCUGCAACAAGAGAAGCCACCGCAUCAAAGAGUAGCCCCUGCUCGCCGCAACUAGAGAAAGCCCACACGCAGCAACAAAGACCCAACGCAGCCAAAAAAAUAAAAAUAAAGUCAGGGCUCUGGAACCAGAAUGCCCGCGUUCAGCUUUCUACUCGGGGUCACAGUGGUGUGUGACCUCAGGCCAGCGACUCAAACUUUCUGAGCUUCAGUUUCCUCACGUGUAACGGGGACAAUAAUUGUGUCUGCCGCAUAGGGCUGUUAUGAUGAUUAAAUGAGUCAUUCCACGGGAAGCAUUAACAGCAGUACCUGGCACUUAAGGGCUGCUCAACAAGUGUUAGCUAUGAUCUAGGACUUUGCCAUCCAGUAUGGUAACCACUAACCACAUGUGGCUAUCAAGUGCUAGAAAUGUGGCUAGUCUGGCUUGAUGGGUGCUGUCGGUACAAAGUACACACAGAUUUCAAAGACUUUGUAUGAGAAAAGGAAUAUAAAAUAUCUCAUUGAUCGUUGUUCUGUUGAUUAAUUGAAGUUGAUAUUUCAAUUGUAUGUUGAAAUAAUAGCAUUUUGGAAUAUACUGGGUUAAAUAAAUACA